GGUGAAAAGAACCCCGGGAGGGGAGUGAAAUAGACCUGAAACCAUAUACCUACAAGCCGUAGAAGCCUUUUUUAAAGGUGACUGCGUGCCUAUUGAAGAAUGAGCCUGCGAGUUAAUUUAAAUAGCAUGGUUAAAGGAUAAAAGUUCUGGAGCCGUAGCGAAAGCGAGUCUGAAUAGGGCGAAUUUGUUGUUUGGAUUAGACCCGAAACCGGGUGAGCUACCCAUGGCCAGGUUGAAGCUAAGAUAAUAUCUUGGUGAAGGACCGAACCCGUGUAAAGUGCAAAUUGCUGGGAUGAGCUGUGGGUAGAGGUAAAAUGCCAAUCGAACCCGGAGAUAGCUGGUUCUCUCCGAAAUGUAUUUAGGUACAGCGUUAAAUUAGUCUUAGGGAGGUAGAGCACUGGAUGGAUAAGGGGGCGUAAGCCUACCAAGUUCAACCAAACUCCGAAUGCCUUAAGAUGAUGUUUAGCAGUGAGACCGUGGGGGAUAAGCUCCAUUGUCAAAAGGGAAACAGCCCAGAUCACAAGCUAAGGUCCCUAAGUCUGAACUAAGUGGGAAAGGAAGUUAGAAUCCACAAACAGCCAGGAGGUUGGCUUAGAAGCAGCCACCCUUUAAAGAAAGCGUAAUAGCUCACUGGUCGAGGUUUUUAGCGCCUAAAAUGUAACGGGGCUAAAGUUCAGCACCGAAGCUGUGAGUUUCUUAUUUUUAAUAAGAAGCGGUAGGAGAGCGUUGUCAGUGCACUGAAUCUGAAAUGUGAGUUUUGGUGGAGCGCUGAGAAGUGAGAAUGCAGGCAUGAGUAGCGACAAUCGUGGUGAGAAUCCACGACACCGGAAGCCCAAGGUUUCCUACGCAAUGUUGAUCAUCGUAGGGUUAGUCGGGCCUAAGUGGUAGCGUAUAGCGAACACGAUGGACAUCGGGUCAAAAUUCCCGAACCGUUCAUGUUGUGUUUUAAAAUAAAGGGGGGACGCAAGAAGGUAAGUAAAGCAUAUCUAUUGGACAUGAUAUGUUUGUUUUUGUAGAUGAUGACCAGAUAGGUAAAUCCGUCUGGUAUUUUAGUUGAGGAAAACAAAAACUAGAGAGCUUAGCUCAAAGGAAUUUUGCUGAUCCUAUGUUGCCAAGAAAAUCCUCGUUAUUAAUAACAUGAGCGACCGUACCGCAAACCGACACAGGUAGGCAGGGAUAAACGUCCCAAGGUGAACGAAAGAACCUUCGUUAAGGAACUCGACAGAUUGACCCCGUAACUUAGGGAGAAGGGGUGCCUGUUAUUUGAUACUGAUUUACUUAGUAAAGGAUAAUAGGCCGCAGUGAAUCGGUCCAAGCGACUGUUUAUCAAAAACAUAGGUCUAUGCUAAAGCGAAAGCUGAUGUAUAUGGGCUGACGCCUGCCCAGUGCCGGAAGGUUAAGAGGAGAGGUUAGGAUUUAUCCAAAGCUUUGAAUUGAAGCCCCGGUGAACGGCGGCCGUAACUAUAACGGUCCUAAGGUAGCGAAAUCCCUUGUCAGGUAAGUUCUGACCCGCACGAAUGGCGUAACGACUUGGACAUUGUCUCAACGAAGGACUCGGUGAAAUUGCAGGACCAGUGAAGAUGCUGGUUACCUACGACAGGACAAAAAGACCCCGUGGAGCUUUACUGCAGCUUGGCAGUGAUUUAGGCUUAUAAACAUGUAGGAUAGGCGGGAGACUUUGAAGCUUUAACGCUAGUUAGAGUGGAGUCGCCCUUGAAAUACCGCCUUUUUAUAAUCUUGGAUCUAACUUUAUUUUAUUAUGAAGGACCCUGCCUGGUGGGCAGUUUGACUGGGGCGGUCGCCUCC
rnacentral:rRNA from 1 species